rnacentral:rRNA from 1 species
AGGUCUUGACAUCCCGAUGCUAUUCUAGAGAUAGAAAGUUACUUCGGUACAUCGGUGACAGGUGGUGCAUGGUUGUCGUCAGCUCGUGUCGUGAGAUGUUGGGUUAAGUCCCGCAACGAGCGCAACCCCUAUUGUUAGUUGCCAUCAUUCAGUUGGGCACUCUAGCGAGACUGCCGGUAAUAAACCGGAGGAAGUGGGGAUGACGUCAAAUCAUCAUGCCCCUUAUGACCUGGGCUACACACGUGCUACAAUGGUUGGUACAACGAGUUGCGAGUCGGUGACGGCGAGCUAAUCUCUUAAAGCCAAUCUCAGUUCGGAUUGUAGGCUGCAACUCGCCUACAUGAAGUCGGAAUCGCUAGUAAUCGCGGAUCAGCACGCCCGCGGUCGAAUACGUUCCGGGCCUU